GGGGGUUCAGGCCAGUGUUGAGAGGGUCUAGGCCAGUGUAGAGGGGGUCCAGGCCAGCGUGGAGGGGUGGUACCCCAAUAGUCUAGGGCACUGGCUCUCCACUGGGGCCAUUCUGCUCCUCAGGGGAUGUUGGGCAAUGUCUAGAGACAUUUUUUCUUGUCAUAGUGGUGGUGUGCUACAGGCACCUGAUAGGCAGAGGCCAGGGGUGCUGCCAAGCAUCCUGCCAUGUCCCCACAGCGGAGAAAGAUCUGGCCCCAAAUGUCAAAGGGGUGGCGGUUGAGAAAGCCCGGCCUAGCGGGAGGAGGUGGUGGCGAGCAGGGCGACAGUGGUGGAGGAAAGUGAUGUGCCCCGUUCUGGGAUCCAGGGUGCAUGGAGCAUGGAUGAGGAGUCACUUGGCAUUCUGCUCUGAGUAUUUAAGAGUGACCCAUGAGAGCUGUAAACUCAAGUCUCAAGUGUGGGUGACCUCCAACACCCAGGCAAGGGUUCGCCUAGCAUGAGCUCCGCUGCCGAGCGCAGUGUCUGCAGGACUAUUCUGCACACAUCUUUGGCAGUGCCCCCAUGUGGUGGCAAGAUGCCCCGGCAUCAGUGACCUUCGGCAGUCAACCCCCAGCAGUGGGUUAAGGAAGACUUCGGUGUCCUUGGAAGAUUGAAAACGAGAGAGGACUCGAGAAGGGGGUUCUGGGCUUCUUGCUAAUAGAGAAUCUGGGUACCUGAGUGAUUAAGGAGCAAAGGGACACAGUCAUCUGGGGAUCAUAAAUUGAUGGAGUGGCUUAUUCUGACUUCAUUAGGAGUUCCCAGGAGAGCCAGGGAAAGGGGAGGAGGAUUGCUGGGUUCAGGAAAGGCACCUGUCACACGCGUGCCUCACUGACUUGCUCGUUGCUCCAAGAACAUAGUCAAUGCUCCCUCUUCUUUGCAUCUCCAGCUUCAGUGCUCUUCAGUUUGUCAGGCGCCUGCAGUCCCAACCCUGGGAGAGCACUCCUCAGCUGGCAGGCUCCAAAAUACCCAGGACGAGGGGAAGGCAGGAAUGGCGUGGAUGGGGCGGGAGGCUUUCCCCAUCUCCCCCAGCUUCAAGCCCUUGUCUCCCCUUCCUACUUAGAAGAUGCUUCCAAUGUGGGCCUGCCAGCUCCAGCUGACAGCACCAGGCACUGUCCCAGACACCACCUGAAAAACAAUCAAAGGCAGUGAACAAACCAUGAAUCCCUCAGGAAAUACAGACAGUUAAACAGUACACGGAGGAAUGCACAGCCUUGCUGAUCGAAUGAGAAAAAAAAAUCGAUAAAACAAGCCCAGUGCUGCAAAGGAUGCGGGGAAAAUAACACAUCCCUUUGCUGUAAACAGAUUCCGAUUUUGAAGAUGCUUCUGUCUGCAUGGAAAAAGCCCCACGCAGCUGCCUGACCCCCCGACCUCGAAUAUUAUCUUGAGGCGGGGUUCUGCAUCUGAGGAAAUAACCCUCAGCAGGAAAAGCGUUCACAGCAACCUUAUUUAAACUGAGAGGUGGAAAAAAGAAAACAACCCAGACGUCCCUUGCUCACACUUGUGGAGCGCUCACACUACGCGAGGUGCCGGACACGCAUUAGCUCUUUGAUCCUUUCCACUGCUCUGUGAGUUGUGGUUUAUGAACCUCCCAUUUUACAAUAAGCAGGGGACACAACAGAGGCCAGCCCUCCCUCCACAGCCGCUCAGGGGCUCAGAGCUGAGGCACCUCAGCGCCACCUGGAGCUUGGGUUCCCCUCCCUCCAAGCUGUUUCUUAGCAACAUGAGGCAACCUUGUCUGCGAAAGAGGAGGUGACCGCAGCUCCUGGGGAUGUGCCAACUCUGGGAUGUGACGGGAAGACAAAGGGCUUCUGUCCCCUUCUGCCUGGCGGUAAGAGAGCCGGCCGCCCGGCAGGCAUGCCCCAGCCUGUGGUUCUGGAAUGCGGGCAAGCCACCGUCCCCAGAGACCUGUGUUGGUGGCCAGGCCAGCCCACACACCCGAUUGGCACAUACUCUUGUGCUUGCCCAGGAGCGGAGUCAGACCAUUCACGCUGCCUUCAUGGGAGUUGAACAGUUGAACUGAUGCCCUUAAACCCAGUGUUUCCCUCUGGGAAGACGCCCGGGGGCCUCGUGGUUGUAGGUGCUGGAAGGAUAGCUCCAGCUCCAGGCACCUGCCACAUAAAGGCCAGCAGAUGCCCAAGUCUCU
rnacentral:lncRNA from 1 species